rnacentral:rRNA from 1 species
CCUACGGGGGGCUGCAGUGGGGAAUAUUGGACAAUGGGGGGAACCCUGAUCCAGCCAUGCCGCGUGUGUGAAGAAGGCCCUCGGGUUGUAAAGCACUUUCAGUGAGGAAGAACGCCUGGUGGUUAAUACCCAUCAGGAAAGACAUCACUCACAGAAGAAGCACCGGCUAACUCCGUGCCAGCAGCCGCGGUAAUACGGAGGGUGCGAGCGUUAAUCGGAAUUACUGGGCGUAAAGCGCGCGUAGGUGGCUUGAAAAGCCGGUUGUGAAAGCCCCGGGCUCAACCUGGGAACGGCAUCCGGAACUGUCAAGCUAGAGUGCAGGAGAGGAAGGUAGAAUUCCCGGUGUAGCGGUGAAAUGCGUAGAGAUCGGGAGGAAUACCAGUGGCGAAGGCGGCCUUCUGGACUGACACUGACACUGAGGUGCGAAAGCGUGGGUAGCAAACAGGAUUAGAUACCCUUGUAGUC